AACGAACGCUGGCGGCAUGCCUAACACAUGCAAGUCGAACGAGACCUUCGGGUCUAGUGGCGCACGGGUGCGUAACGCGUGGGAAGCUGCCCUUAGGUUCGGAAUAACUCCCCGAAAGGGGUGCUAAUACCGGAUAAUGUCUUCGGACCAAAGAUUUAUCGCUUUUGGAUGGGCCCGCGUUGGAUUAGCUAGUUGGUAGGGUAAAAGCCUACCAAGGCGACGAUCCAUAGCUGGUCUGAGAGGAUGAUCAGCCACACUGGGACUGAGACACGGCCCAGACUCCUACGCGAGGCAGCAGUGGGGAAUAUUGGACAAUGGGCGAAAGCCUGAUCCAGCAAUGCCGCGUGAGUGAUGAAGGCCUUAGGGUUGUAAAGCUCUUUUACCCGGGAUGAUAAUGACAGUACCGGGAGAAUAAGCUCCGGCUAACUCCGUG
rnacentral:rRNA from 1 species